rnacentral:rRNA from 1 species
CAGUCGCCGCGGGAAUACGUAGGUGGCAAGCGUUGUCCGGAUUUAUUGGGCGUAAAGCGAGCGCAGGCGGUUCCUUAAGUCUGAUGUGAAAGCCCACGGCUCAACCGUGGAAGGUCAUUGGAAACUGGGGAACUUGAGUGCAGAAGAGGAGAGUGGAAUUCCAUGUGUAGCGGUGAAAUGCGUAGAUAUAUGGAGGAACACCAGUGGCGAAGGCGACUCUCUGGUCUGUAACUGACGCUGAGGCUCGAAAGCGUGGGGAGCAAACAGGAUUAGAUACCCCAGUAGUCCCUGUCUCUUAUAA